GAAGGUAUAGCUCAGAGGUAGAGUGCGUGCUUACCAUGUUCAAGGCCCUGGGUUCAAUCCCCAGUACCUCCA
rfam:Camelus ferus unplaced genomic scaffold scaffold420, whole genome shotgun sequence.